UAUUCUCUUACCCUAAUUGAUAGAAAACCUCAAAAAAAUUCCACCACUACUUAUCGACAUCACUGUUUGCCGGCGGUAACACUGUUGUAGUUCAUUCCAUGGCUCCUUUUUUGUUUAAUUGCAAAGAAUCCAGAUACCAGGGAGUAUCCUUGUUCUCUGAUUUUUGUGUUUAUAUAAAUAAGUAUUAGUUUUUCCUACUCCAAACAAAAGGGAUGAUUCCAAAUCUAAAAUGCCAUUUUUCUCUAAAAAUAAACCAAGAAAAACGUCGCAGACACAUAGAUCUAUGGAGAUAGAGCCCUAAAUAAUGAUUCCGGCAAAUAGUCUUGGCAACAUCACUGACAUCGUCGUCAUUUGCGGAAGAUUCAUAAUUUCGUAUAUUAAGAGUUUGAUUAUCCUGAUAUCGGUUAGAAUCUAAUAUCUCAUUCGUCUCUUACAAUUUUUCUUAAGGAUAACCAGCCUUUAAAAUCCCUAAUUGUAGGAAUUUUUUUAGAUUAUUUAUUUAUGUGUAUAAGUGAAUAGAUAGAGGAAAAGACUUAGUAGUCCUUAUGUAUGCUAUAGGAGUAGUUUUGUUCCUACCUAAGUCAAUUCCGCUAAAUAGAUAUAUGUGUAUAUUUUGUUGUUAAUUGGGAAUUGAAAACGAAUUAUGGCUUUCUUUAUUUAUGAGAAACAAUUGCUUUCUCGAAUGAGGACAAUUCUUUUUCCUAUUGCCGAUUAGUUAUAAAGUUCCUAUGUACAUUUUUUUUGGUUGAAUCCAUGCCACUUUCCAGAAAAUUAUGAGUUAUAGUUUUGGCAUGAUAUUAUCUACCUUAGUAUGUGCUAUGUGAUUAAACUGGAGUAGAUAUUGAAUUGUGGAUUGAACAAGUUGGUGGUUCUCUAAUUUUUAUAAAGCAAAUUCAGAGAAUCUAGAGCAGGUACGUGGUCUUCUAAGUGUUCACAUUUAGAUAGAGAGAAUAUUAUGAUUUUUCAAAGGAGGGGAUAUGCCAUCUUCAUAUUUUACUGUUGUUCUUGACAUAUCUUUGGGAGCAGUAUUUCUUCAAAAUUAAUUGUAAUCAGUUGUAUAGAUAUUUGAAUACUUCUCUUUUAUGUCUCUUUGGGGAGUAAUGAUCAGAUGAAAGAGGCAUUUAGCAUAUAAUGAUCAUAUGAAAUUAGACAAAGCUAAUAGCCUUGGAUAAAAUUGCCAUGCCAUUAUGCAGAAAUUUGUAAAAAUGUUUCCUCCUGGUGGUUUCAAAAAUUUACCUUGAUCAAACAUUGAUAAGGAGGAUCUUUGAUUACAUAAUUGGAUGAGUUCUUUGGUUUUAGCUUCUAUAUUUGCGAUUUUUACAAGAACUUUUAAUUGAUUUUUAUUGACUCUACUCAUUAGUUAGCAUGGCUUAUUAUAACUUUUUUUACAGCUGAAUGCUCCAGAUAAAUUUAAUAUUUAUAGUGUCGGUCUCAUAUUCCUGCGAAUAGUUAGUUUCAACUCAAAUUCUACUAAGUCUUAACUCCUUUGAAUAUAGGUUUGAAGUAUGACCAGAAAUAGGAACUUCAACCAUGCGAUGGAUAUCAACCUAACAACAUGAUGAAAAAUAACUGGCACCUUAGCAAUAUUGAGCAGUGGUAUUAAAGAAAAAAUGAAUCUAUCUGCGUAGAAAUGAUGCUGUAACUUUUUCUUUUCCAUUUGCCAUUCUAUUGUUUCUUAAAAUUGAUAUGUGUGUAUCAGUAUUUUAACUCAACCAUUAUACAAAAGUACUACUCCAUAAACUUUUAUAAGGUGACUCAUGAAGCAUAGAAAACGAGAACUUUCUUAGUCAUAUAUCUUAUUUGUAUGGAUUGGAUGUUUUGGAUACUUAGGGCUAUGCAAUCCAGCUACCAGGAUAAAGGAGCUUCACAAUAUCAGCAUGUGCUCCAAAUGUCUAACACUACCACCUUAUGAAAGAUAGUGUCACAGGACAUACACUCAACUAGUCAAUUGAUGGUAGUUUUUAAGAAUAAGUUAUCGGAUCUUGAAACUCUAUAACAGUAGAGUUCCAUCUCCUUUUAGUUAUUCUGGUAUUGCAUCUCCUUUCAACUAUUCUAGUACUUUUUUGUAUGAUGUUGUAUCUUAGAUCUAAACUGGCAUAUUGUUUACAUAUUUAGUUAAGAAUUUUUGCUGAAAGUAACUUCUUAAAUAUGUUGUCACAAGAUAGGUAAUAUAAAGUGGUACACUUGAAGCAUGUGGAGUUUUGAGUGCUCCCUUUGUUGUGUUGAUUCAAUUUUGUAACUAUGAAGAAUUUUAUAACUGAUGGUUAUAAUGGAAGACAACAUUAUUGAUCUUUAUGAUUGUCACUGCUUCUUCAGGACAGAUUUGCAAUGAAUGAUCUCUCUUACAAAAUGCCAUAUGUGGAUUGAAUGAGCAAAGAAUGAAUGAAGCGGCGAAGGCACUACUUAGAGUUAUGAGAUUGUUCUUGAAAUUAUUCGUGUAUUAGAAUCUUUAGGAACCUUUUAUGUUGUAUUAUGCUUUUGAAAUUGUACAAUGUUAUAAAUUUAUUUUUAUACAAAGAAAUAAAAAACCGUUGCAAUAGCCUCCAUA